rnacentral:rRNA from 1 species
GCUUUUGUCAGGGGAAGUAAACCCCCGUUCCGUGAACGGGGUUGGAAUGUACUCUGAGAAUAAGGAUCGGCUAACUCCGUGC